ACUUUCAAGCCUGUCACCCAGGUCAAGCCUGUUCCAGAAGAAACAACUAUAGCAAAAGCCCUAAGGUAGGAGUGUGGCUGCCAGAGCUCACACACGGUGAGGAUGUCCAGACCAUUAUUCCUCCAUUGGCCCUGGAGACCCCUCUGCAGCCCCUCCCAAUCUCUCCCACUGACCCACGGGCCAGAAGGCUGGAUUUUGCAAUGGAAGGGAACUUGCAGGCAGCAGACAGCUCUGCACUAUCCCUCUGAUUUUCCUCAGGCACCUCUGAGAGGGAGACACCCUCUCAGCCAAGUACCCAACAAGGGACAUGAGAAGGCUUCUGCUGUGCAGCUGCCAGAGAAACAGUGGACAGAUCAAAGCAGGAGAGGACCAACAUCUGUGGUAACCAAAGCAAGGACAAGUUACCCCAAAUCAGAAAUCUUCAUUGUGUAUUUGUGCAGUUACUUUUGGAACUCAAGUAAAGGACUUUACAUGUCAGGUUCCACCUGAAUUCCUUCCAUGCUUUUCAGCGACUGAACCAUUUGGGUGGCCUGGAAGAGCCUGUGAGCUCCCUGGAGAAAGGAGACAGUGUGGAUGGAGAAGAAUCUGGAGUAGAGACGAGUCUGGGGACCCUGCCUUUCAAGUCUUUUGUGUGAGGGCUGCGUUGGUGGCCCAACUAGCCAGGGAAGGGCUAUGGUAUGCGGGGUCAGGCGGGAAUAGGCAGGAAAUGUUUGUGAUAAGAGGCUUUGCCUCUUGCAAGCUCCUCUGGUUUCCAGACCCAGCUGCAGGAUAAGGGCCCAGGAGCUGAGCAGGGAGCCUCAGAGGAGGCUGCUGCAAGAGCCAGCUCUUGGGAUUUCAGCAGGCAGAGUUGCGAUCAGAGGCCACUGGGGUCCCUGAAGACCGUGCCUGGGGAUAGAAAUGACCCUGGGAACCCAGGCAGGGCUGCCUUCCUUUGGGAUCAGGAAUUUCAAUCAUACUUCAGAGGGCCAAAUCAAUCCCUUAAGAAAAAUAAAACAAAACAAACCCC